rnacentral:sRNA from 1 species
CAGGGUGAAAUAGAUUCAUAACAUGGCUCUGGAUUAUUAUUCCUAAGCUGCUAGAUAGUAGCAACUAUUUUGUGAGCUGAAAUUUUAUUAUAUUCCUUAUAUAACAAUUUCCUUAUAUUUCUCCACUUACUGUCCACUAAAUGACAGCUUACCAGAUAAGCAGAUAUCACUCAGUUUAUAGUAAAGAUUAUAUUUAAACAGCGAAGAUAUGUAUGCAUUUUUUUAGGCAACUUAGUAUAUAGGGAGGCUAGUGUCUUUGGAAUUCACUGUAGCGUUUCAGUGUAGAGGAAUGUUUUGAUGUUGUGGAAACUCUGUAAGCUGAAAUUCUAACUAUAUUAUUCAUUAAUGAAGGAAACAUUUAAUCUUUUCUUUACCAUCCUCACAGAUAGACUUGUUGAAACAAGGGGACCUCUAUGUUCAUUGAGAAGUGAAAAGAGGUGUUCAAAGGGGAAAAUUACUGAUACAGAGAAGAUGGUUGGAAUCAGAUUUGAAAAUGAAAGUGUAAGUAAAAAUCCUAGUUACAUUUGAUAUCUGUUUACUUACAUAACAUGUUUUGGUGCCCAUGAAAAGCAAGAAAAAGUGUGUAUAUAUAUAUAUAUAUAAAACUUUGAUUGUUAAUUCUGUUGUUUUUCUUUAAAAAAGCAGCAAGCCAGCCAGGCAUAGUGGCUCAUGCCUGUAAUCCCCGAACUUUGGGAAGCCAAGGCAGAAGGAUCACUUGAGCCCAGGAGUUUGAGACCAGCCUGGGCA